rnacentral:rRNA from 1 species
GAUGAACGCUGGCGGCGUGCUUAACACAUGCAAGUCGAACGAAGCAUUUGCGACAGAUUUUUUCGGAAUGAAGUUGCUUAUGACUGAGUGGCGGACGGGUGAGUAACGCGUGGGUAACCUGCCUUGUACUGGGGGAUAGCAGCUGGAAACGGCUGGUAAUACCGCAUAAGCGCACAAUGUUGCAUGACAUGGUGUGAAAAACUCCGGUGGUAUAGGAUGGACCCGCGUCUGAUUAGCUAGUUGGUGAGAUAACAGCCCACCAAGGCGACGAUCAGUAGCCGACCUGAGAGGGUGACCGGCCACAUUGGGACUGAGACACGGCCCAGACUCCUACGGGAGGCAGCAGUGGGGAAUAUUGCACAAUGGAGGAAACUCUGAUGCAGCGACGCCGCGUGAGUGAAGAAGUAAUUCGUUAUGUAAAGCUCUAUCAGCAGGGAAGAUAGUGACGGUACCUGACUAAGAAGCUCCGGCUAAAUACGUG